UUCUAGGGGAACUGGUUGAACAAUUCAGAAUUUGGAUGCCUACUGGCUUCUUGCCACCUUAAGCAAGAAGGCCCACAAGGCUUCCAGCAAGGAGCUGUGGCCAUGUGACUCAGGUUCUGGCCAGUGGGAGGCGAGCACAAGUGAUCCAGGCCACCUGUAAGGCGCGCCAUUCGAGAAGGCACGAGACUCCUCCUCGCCUCUCUGCCCACUGGCCAGCAGGCAGACAUAUGUGGGCCGAAAGAUGGAAGGUUGAUUGGGAUGUGACCCCAUUGUAAGCGGGGGAGGAUGUGGACUGCAUUUCACGUAAGACAUCACCAAGAAGUCGCAACACGAUUUUCACACCAACAACAACAAAAAGAAUACUGCCUGUUAAACCACAACAGAACGCCUUAAUAGCAGACAAGGACAAGGCGGUGAUCAA